rnacentral:rRNA from 1 species
GACGAACCGAGCGAACGUUAUUCGGAAUCACUGGGCUUAAAGGGUGCGUAGGCGGGCACGCGAGUCAGGGGUGAAAUCCCACGGCCCAACCGUGGAAGUGCCUCUGAUACCGCGAGCCUCGAGGGGGAUAGGGGCGUGCGGAACUUCCGGUGGAGCGGUGAAAUGCGUAGAUAUCGGGAAGAACACCCGUGGCGAAGGCGGUUCUCUGGGACGGUACUGACGCUGAGACGCGAAAGCGUGGGGAGCGAACAGG